rnacentral:rRNA from 1 species
CGGACCUCAGAUCAGGCAAGACCACCCGCUGAGUUUAAGCAUAUCACUAAGCGGAGGAAAAGAAACUAACUAGGAU